AUGGCUAACAGGAAUUCAAAGUAUUUCAAACAAGUGAAGCACCAACGACGAAAUAAAGAGAAGAGGAAACCUGCGGCGACAUCAAGCAAGGGAGCGUCGGUGAUUGCGGGUUCUGGGGCGGAGGAGGGCUGUUCGGAGUGGCGGUUGGCGGUGGUGCGAACGGCAACUGGGCGGAGGCGCGGCGAAGGAUCGCGUGAGCUGGUCGGAGUGGCUUCUACUGGAGCUUUCGGUUUUGUGAGUUUCCGGUUUCGUCGGUGUUGGUCUGUAGAUGACAGCGGGUGGAAGUUACGGUUGCAACUUGGUUGA